rnacentral:rRNA from 1 species
GGUUCCCGAUUAUGGCUCAGAUUGAACGCUGGCGGGAUGGCUUUACACAUGCAAGUCGAACGGCAGCACGGACUUCGGUCUGGUGGCGAGUGGCGAACAGGUGAGUAAUGUAUCGGAACGUGCCUAGUAGCGGGGAUAACUACGCGAAAGCGUAAUAAUACCACGCUACGCCCUUCGAGAAGCGGGGGGACCUUCGGGCCUCGCACUAUUAGAGCGGCCGAUAUCGGAUUAGCUAGUUGGUGGAGUAACGGCUCAAGGCGACGGUCGUAGCUGGUUUGAAGGACAGCGAUAAGCCACACUGGGUUUGAGACACGGCCCAGACUCCUACGGGAGGCAGCAGUGGGGAAUUUUGGACAAUGGGGAAACCCUGAUCCAGCCAUCCCGCGUGUGCGAUAGAGCCUUCGGUUGUAGCUUUUGGCAGGAAAAGAAGCGGCACGGGAUAAUACCCCCGUGCAACUGACCGGUACCUGCAAGAAUAAGCACCGGCUAACUACGUGUGGUAGCCCAACGGUAAUACGUAGGGUGCAAGCGUUAAUCAGAUACUGGGCGUAAAGCGUGCCGCGGGCUGGUUCCGGAAAAGAAAAGAUGUGAAAUCCCAGAGCUUAACUUUGGAACUGCAUUUUUAACUACAAGAACUGAAGAGUGUGUCAGAGGAGGUGGAAUUCCGCGUGUAGCGAGUAAAUGCGUAGAUAUGCGGAGGAACACCGAUGGCGAAAGCAGCCUCCUGGGAUAACACUGACGCUCAUGCACGAAAGCGUGAAAGGAGCAAACAGGAUUAGAUACCCUGGUAGUCCACGCCCUAAACGAUGUCAACUAGCUGUUCAGGGCCUUCGGGCCUUGGUAGCGCAGCUAACGCGUGAAGUUGACCGCCUGGGGAGUACGGUCACUCAAGAUUAAAACUCAAAGGUGGCGGGGACCCGCACAAGCGGUGGAUGAUGUGGAUUAAUUCGAUGCAACGCGAAAAACCUUACCUACCCUUGACGUCUGGAAUCCCGAAGAGAUUUGGGAGUGCUCGCAAAGGAACCGGAACACAGGUGCUACAUGGCUGUCGUCAGCUCUGUCGUGAGAUGUUGGGUUAAGUCCCGCAGCAGCUGCAGCCGUAUCGUCGUUGCUACGAAGGGCACUCAUGGGAGCCUUACCGGUGACAAACCGGAGGAAGGUGGGGAUGACGUCAAGUCCUCGGCCCUUAUGGGUAGGGCUUCACACAUCACUCACAAUGGUCAGGGCGAGGUCGCCAACCCGCGAGGGGAGCCAAUCCCAGAAACCUGAUCGUAGUCCGGAUCAUGAUCUGCAACUCGACUGCGUGAAGUCGGAAUCGCUAGUAAUCGCGGAUCAGCAUGUCGCGGUGAAUACGUUCCCGGGUCUUGUACACACCGCCCGUCACACCAUGGGAGUGGGUUUUACCAGAAGUAGUUAGCCUAACCGUAAGGAGGGCGAUUACCACGGUAGGAUUCAUGACUGGGGUGAAGUCAUGUCAGGUAA